rnacentral:misc_RNA from 1 species
UUUCCGUAGGUGAACCUGCGGAAGGAUCAUUAAUGAAGUUUGGGCUUCGGCCCUCUCUCUUCUAAAACACUUGUGAACUUACAUCGUUGCUUUGGCAGGUUUCCUUCUGAGUUGAAAACUCAGAAUGGUUAAAUCGAGAGAUGCCUGCCAAAGACAUUCAAUAACCCUUUUUAUAUUGUCUGAUUUUUGUUUUAAACAAAAUAUAAUAAAACUUUCAACAAUGGAUCUCUUGGCUCUGGCAUCGAUGAAGAACGCAGC